rnacentral:lncRNA from 1 species
CUCAAAGGGAACGGCUUGGACAAUUGGUCACAAUUCCAGCCUUGAUAUCUGGAAUACUAGAUGGAUUCUCAAUAGUCAACCACUUCAUCAACUUCUAAUAGGGCCUUUAAAUAAGACUGACCUUCUCCUCGCGCCAAAGGAUCUCCGUUACAAUACAACUAGACCUUUGAUCAAAUUUCCUUUGAAAUGCCCUCUACAAUAGCUGACAAAUUUCCUUAAAAUUUUAAACCGUUCUAUUACUACUUUACCUAGCACAGUUUAUUGGGUAGACCUCUUUCCUUUCAAUUUGAAACCUUUGGCUAAAUAGAAAUAGCAAUAACAUUAAUAAUACCAUAUCCAAUCUCUUUCAUCCUCACUAGCUGUGAAAUAUGCUCUAGAAUACAAAUUCUGCACUGAAAAAGAAACUAACUUUUCUAAGAAAACUCUCAUUACUCUUUCAUGGCAUGCACAACCCCCCCCCCCCCAACCCCCCCNNNNNNNNNNNNNNNNNNNNGAAAAAAAAACUAACUUUUCUAAGAAAACUCUCAUUACUCUUUCAUGGCAUGCACAACCCCCCCCCCCCCAAACCCCCCAGGAUGGUUCAAACAUAAUAUUGAUGGUGCUUUUCGAAGUACUACACUAAUCUCAGGCAUAGGUGGCGUAAUCAGAGAUGCAGAUUCAAAUUGAAUUUCUUGCUUCAUAAAAUCAGACAAUGCAUAUUCACCCAUCUAUGUAGAACUUCAAGCAAUCCAUUAGGGGUUGAUCUUUGCAGAAAACAACAAGCUCGCCCCAAUAGAAGUGGAGACAGACUCGGCGGAUGUUAUACGUUGCCUUGAAAAAGGAUCUUUAAUUUACAACAAUAUUAUUUUUGAUUGCAUAUGAUUAAUGGCCAAAAUGGGGCAAGUGGUUCUCAGGCAUAGCUGCAGAGAAGGGAAUGCAAAAACUCAUCUAAUGACUUAGGAAGAAUCAAGAUAGUCUACUACAAAUAAACUUUUGUAUUUUGAUAAACCACUUUGUUGGACGAGUCCAGGAUGCUGGGGGACAAAAAUUAUGGUGUUGUAGUUUGCAACAUGUUGUUUAAUGAUUGCAACAAUUUAGCGGCCUUAGGAAAGAUUGAUGCUUUGAACAGCAUAUGUGGGUGUAAUAGUACUGUACUACAACAACAAUAACAACAACAACCUAGUAUAAUCUCACUUAGUGGGGUUUGGGGAGGGUAGUAUGUACGCAGAC